rnacentral:rRNA from 1 species
UACGACCCCUAGAGCGGCGCACGGGUGCGUAACGCGUAUGCAACCUACCCUUUACCGGGGGAUAGCCCGGGGAAACCCGGAUUAAUACCCCAUAGAAUAACAUGAUGGCAUCAUUGAGUUAUUAAAGAUUUAUCGGUGAAGGAUGGGCAUGCGUAGGAUUAGUUAGUUGGCGGGGUAACGGCCCACCAAGACGAUGAUCCUUAGGGGUUCUGAGAGGAAGGUCCCCCACACUGGCACUGAGAUACGGGCCAGACUCCUACGGGAGGCAGCAGUAGGGAAUAUUGGGCAAUGGGCGGGAGCCUGACCCAGCCAUGCCGCGUGCAGGAAGAAGGCGUUAUGCGUUGUAAACUGCUUUUAUACGGGAAGAAAAGGCCCAUGCGUGGGAUAUUGCCGGUACCGUAUGAAUAAGCACCGGCUAACUCCGUGCCAGCAGCCGCGGUAAUACGGAGGGUGCAAGCGUUGUCCGGAUUUAUUGGGUUUAAAGGGUGCGUAGGCGGCCCGUUAAGUCAGCGGUGAAAGUCUGUGGCUCAACCAUAGAAGCGCC